GUGGCCGUAGCUCAGCUGGUGGUAGCGCCAGGUUGUGAUCCUGGAGGUCGGGGGUUCAAGUCCCCUCGGUCACC
rnacentral:tRNA from 1 species